GUUUUUGCCUGUUUUCACACGCACUCACGCCACACAUCCAAUUUCUCACGCAAAAAAAAUCGGCCCAGACUUUCGUUCCUUUUUUCAAACUCCCCGACGAUAGAUGGCGCUGAUGAGCGCCACUGAACCAUAUGCGCUGCACCUUGAAGUUAGCGACAGAAGAAGAGAUACUAUUGCCGCGAAAGACAACAUGAGAAGAAACGGUCGCUACCUCAAGAAGUCUGAUAAGAAGCUGAGCUGAGACUAGGUUUCAAAGAUGUCCCGUAAGAGACCUUUGCCAGGACAAAAGCGAAACCUUUUAUUUUAUUUAAAGAACCAGCCAAGUGAGAAAAGACAGACAAACACACUGACAGAACAGCCAGAACGAUUGAUAGAAACGACAGGACAACAGACAGAGGAGCAACACAAAGGACAGAGAGAGCAGGAGACAGGACAGACUGACAAACAAGCAGAGGAGCAACAGACAGGACAGAUUGACGCACAUGCAGAGGAGCAACAGACAGGACAAAUAGAACAACCAACAGGGCAGAUGGAAGGAGACACAGAGGGACAGACAGUAGAGACCCCCCCCCCAAUCCAACAGCAGGGCCAGAAGAGUCAUGCUCUGGCUGGAGCAGCAAGAUCCAUUUUUAAAAAUGAGUGGACCUCUUCAUGGCCAUUUAUUACCAGAGGGAGCCUCAACACGCACUACUGGUGUGCAGUCUGCCGUAUUGAAAACUCAUGUUGCCACCAGGGUGUGACAGAUGUAGUGCGCCAUAUAAAAAACAAAGGCCACCAAGAUAAGAACUGUGUUGUACAGAUAAGAACGUUGUGUGACCAAGAUCCUGAGGCUGUAUGAACCUCUGGCCAGCUACUACAAAUCUGCUAAUGAAAAUCAGGCCAGGUUCAAGAGACUUGUGCAGACAUUCACUGACCCCAUGACAGAAGUGUACCUGCUGUUCUUCCAAGCCACCGUACCAACGUUCACUUCUUUCAACUUGCUGCUUCAGAGAGAGCAGUCAUCAAUAUUUUUGUUGCAUGAUGAGAUGGUGAAAUUCGUAUGCAAGCUAUGUUCCAAGUUUAUGGUUCCAGCAGCUCUGCAGUGCCAUGGGGAGCCUUGUGAAAUUGCCUUUAAAGAAAAGGCAAACCAUUUACCAGGAAGAAAGUUGAACAUUGGGUUCACAACCAGGGCUAAA